GACGUAGGGCGCGAGCGUUGUCCGGAUUUAUUGGGCGUAAAGAGCUCGUAGGCGGCUUGUCGCGUCGUCCGUGAAAACUUGGGGCUCAACCCCAAGCUUGCGGUCGAUACGGGCAGGCUGGAGUUCGGUAGGGGAGACUGGAAUUCCUGGUGUGAGCGGUGGAAAUGACGGCAGAUAUCAGGAGGAACACCGAUGGCGAAGGC
rnacentral:rRNA from 1 species